UACGUAGGGGGCAAGCGUUGUCCGGAAUCAUUGGGUUUAAAGGGUCCGUAGGCGGUUUUAUAAGUCAGUGGUGAAAUCCGGCAGCUCAACUGUCGAACUGCCAUUGAUACUGUAGAACUUGAAUUACUGUGAAGUAACUAGAAUAUGUAGUGUAGCGGUGAAAUGCUUAGAUAUUACAUGGAAUACCAAUUGCGAAGGCAGGUUACUAACAUUAUAUUGACGCUGAUGGACGAAAGCGUGGGGAGCGAACAGG
rnacentral:rRNA from 1 species